AUGCUCACUUCAGCAGUACAUAUACUAAAAUUGGAAUGAUUCAGAGAAGAUUAGCAUGAUCCCUGCGCAAGAACAACAUGCACAUUUGUGAAGCCUUCCAUAUUUUU